AGAGGAACAGUCGGAGAGCUGGGGGGUUUCUUGGGAGGUUGCAAUUAGAAUUCAGCCAACUGCCAGGGUGCAAACCAGUCCACACAGCCCCGUGUGGGGUCUCUCUAGCUUCAAGGCACAUGUGGGUGGACCCCAAAUCGAUCUGUUCUAGAGUUGCUAGAAGGUCCUGGAGCUGCCUGACAGCCGUCGUAUACACAAGAAAUAGGUCAUCGCUGGAGACAGUUACAGAUUCACGCCAGCCAGAGAAAAGCAAAACAAAGCACAGAGGUCCUCUUCUGAGUACUGCCCAGCGGAGACAGACAAGGUCCUUUCCAGCGCUUCCCCAGGCGUGACACAAAGCCCCCGCCCAAAGUGACGGUGCCCGUCCUCCUGGUGGGGUCAGCUGGGUGCUCAUCUCCCACAUCACUGUUGAUGUGGAGAGGUAAGAGCUCAGCUUGUUUCCUUCCAUGCCUCCUUCAGAGGAAAGGACUGGGGCCGGCGCUUUCACGGAGCUGGGAAAUACACCAGCACGCACAGAAGUCCGCACUUACUUCAAAGUGAAUACAACACAACGAUACUCUCUCUGUCACUCUUGUGUCCCUGGGUGACUGCUGCAUUUUCUCUUCUCUGGAUGAAUGGGGUUCCUUCAGCUGAUUUCAUUGGUCUGGAGUCCAGUUUUCAGCACAAAAUCUACAUGCAAAAGCUCUUAGACCAUGGUACUUUCAAUUUCACAAAAUAAAGAGCCAGAGGUGAGAUCACUUACAACCUCCUCUCUCAGCAAUUUUCAAGAAUACUAUGCAUUGGUGUUAACGCUGUCUCCUCACAUCUGUGUGGGACCCCCCGAGUGGCUUCACAAGCUGUAAUCAAAAAUAUGAGUGCUGCUGCUGACAGCCGGGCAGCAGGAAGGCGGCUGGUGAAAACACGGCGGGGUCCUCAUCCACCCUACUGAACGGACCUGGCACCGUGUGACUUCCGGCUCUUCCCCAAAGUUAAAGCAACCAAGAGAGGGAGACGCUUUGCGUUGACUCAGGACACUGAGGCAGCCAGGACAACACAACUAAGAACACUCAGAACUAAGAAAGAGGACUUCCACAACCGCUUCAGACAGCGGCAAGGACGGCGGGACACAUGCGUUCAAGGGGAGGGGAAUAAUGGCUGGAAAAUCCUCAGCUUGGUGCAAGUCAUACAACUAGAGAUUCAGGAGGAGAUUCUGUAAAUCUGAAAAUAUCCAUACCAAUGCACAUCGCAUUUAAACUUUUGAAAACUAAAGACAAAGAGUUUUUUUGGCAUUGUUGGAGAUAGAACCCAGCAUUUCUUUCAUGCUAGACAAGCACACGGCUACCGAGCAGCACCCCGCCCUGAUGAGCAUCUGUUCAAGGUGCUUUAUGAACAUUUGCGCUACUUCCUUGGAGAAAUGCCUAUUUAAAUCC